GUGACUGCGUACCUUUUGUAUAAUGGGUCAGCGACUUAUAUUUAGUAGCAAGGUUAAGCGAAUAGCGGAGCCGUAGCGAAAGCGAGUGUUAACUGCGCGUUUAGUUGCUAGGUAUAGACCCGAAACCCGGUGAUCUAGCCAUGGGCAGGUUGAAGGUUGAGUAACAUCAACUGGAGGACCGAACCCACUGACGUUGAAAAGUCAGGGGAUGACUUGUGGCUGGGGGUGAAAGGCCAAUCAAACCGGGAGAUAGCUGGUUCUCCCCGAAAUCUAUUUAGGUAGAGCCUCGGACGAAUUCCAUUGGGGGUAGAGCACUGUUAAGGCUAGGGGGUCAUCCCGACUUACCAACCCUUUGCAAACUCCGAAU
rnacentral:rRNA from 1 species